CGAAAUUAGUACUCCUACUAGAGGUAAAUUAAGCGGUCUGAUGUUGAUCCAAACCUACUAGAGGGAUAUUAAGAGGUCUGAUGUUGACCCAAACCUACUGGUUGAUCCAAACGGCUGAGCUCAACCGCAAUCACCAUUCACCACUGCCCAUCAUUCUCCUCUUUCCACAUCUCAACCCAAUUGCGUUGAGCUUCUUCCAAUCCCAUAAUAGAACCCCUCCUCUCUGGGUCCCAACUCGCAGACAAAGUGCCGUAAGCGAUCCCAAGAGUUGAUGCCCCGAAAGUUAUGAAUGUAGUCAAGAAUGGCAGCCAUAGUGGCACAUCCCACAAAUUUUGGUCUU
rnacentral:lncRNA from 1 species